UACGAAGGGGGCUAGCGUUGCUCGGAAUCACUGGGCGUAAAGGGUGCGUAGGCGGGUCUUUUAAGUCAGAGGUGAAAUCCUGGAGCUCAACUCCAGAACUGCCUUUGAUACUGGCAAUCUCGAGUCCGGAAGAGGUUGGUGGAACAGCUAGUGUAGAGGUGAAAUUCGUAGAUAUUAGCUAGAACACCAGUGGCGAAGGCGGCCAACUGGUCCGGUACUGACGCUGAGGUGCGAAAGCGUGGGGAGCAAACAGGG
rnacentral:rRNA from 1 species